rnacentral:misc_RNA from 1 species
GGUGCAUGAGUGGUGAUUGGUUUGUUACGUGUGGAUGGCUGUUUGCUCGCGCACCAACGUUCACGCUGCAUACCUCUUCAGUUCUGCGUCAAGAUUGGCUUUGUCUUGAGCAUGUUGUGGGUUUCCUGUGCUGCAUACCUAAUUGACGGUAACGUGUGGGUUUUAUGGUUUUCUUUUUCGUCAUGCGUCCUUCAUGCGGCGUGGGAUGGACAAUGAAACGAUCUUUGUGAUCCACAGUGUUGUGCUUGCAACAACGAUGUGGCCUAUUAAGCAUC